ensembl:lncRNA
CAGUAUCAGUCAGUAACAGUAUCAGUAACAGUUGCAGUAACAGUAACAGUUGCAGUAUCAGUAACAGUAGCAGUAACAGUAGCAGUAUCAGUAACAGUAGCAGUUACAGUAACAGUAACAGUAUCAGUAACAGUUGCAGUAACAGUAACAGUAUCAGUAACAGUUGCAGUAUCAGUUACAGUAACAGUUACAGUAGCAGUUGCAGUAACAGUUACAGUAGCAGUAACAGUUACAGUAACAGUAGCAGUAACAGUAACAGUAACAUUAGCAGGUGCAGUAACAGUAGAAGUAACAGUAACAGGUGCAGUAACAGUAGAAGUAACAGUAACAGUUAGUUACAGUAGCAGUUACAGUAGCAGUAACACUAGCAGUAACACUAGCAGUAACAUUAGCAGUUGCAGUAACAGUAACAGUAGCAGUAUCAGUUGCAGUAGCAGUAGAAGUUGCAGUUGCAGUAGCAGUAACAGUAACAGUAGCAGUAGCAGUUACAGUAGCAGUAGCAGUUGCAGUAACAGUAAAAGUUGCAGUUGCAGUAGCAGUAACAGUUACAGUAACAGUAGCAGUAACAGUUACAGAGGCAGUUACAGUAGCAGUUACAGUAGCAGUAACAGUAGCAGUUACAGUAGCAGUAACAGUAGCAGUAACAGUAGCAGUUGCAGUAACAGUAGCAGUUACAGUAACACUAGCAGUAACAGUAACAGUUGCAGUUACAGUAACAGUAGCAGUUACAGUAGCAAUUGCAGUAGCAGUAACAGUAGCAGUUACAGUAGCAGUUACAGUAGCAGUAACAGUAACAGUUACAGUAGAAGUAGCAGUUACAGUAACAGUAGAAGUUGCAGUAACAUUAGCAGUAACAGUAACAGUAGCAGUUACAGUAGCAGUAGCAGUUACAGUAGCAGCAGCAGUUACAGUAGCAGUAACAGUAGCAGUUACAGUAGCAGUAACAGCUACAGUAGCAGUAACAGUUGCAGUAGCAAUAGCAGUAACAGUAACAGUUGCAGUAACAGUAACAGUUGCAGUUACAGUAACAGUUGCAGUAGCAAUAGCAGUAACAGUAACAGUUGCAGUAACAGUAACAGUUGCAGUAACAGUAACAGUUGCAGUAACAGUAACAGUUGCAGUUACAGUAACAGUUGCAGUAGCAGUUACAGUAGCAGUAGCAGUUACAGUAGCAGCAGCAGUUACAGUAGCAGUAACAGUAGCAGUUACAGUAGCAGUAACAGCUACAGUAGCAGUAACAGUUGCAGUAGCAAUAGCAGUAACAGUAACAGUUGCAGUAACAGUAACAGUUGCAGUUACAGUAACAGUUGCAGUAGCAAUAGCAGUAACAGUAACAGUUGCAGUAACAGUAACAGUUGCAGUAACAGUAACAGUUGCAGUAACAGUAACAGUUGCAGUUACAGUAACAGUUGCAGUAGCAGUUACAGUAGUAGUAACAACUAG